UACGGGGGGGGCAAGCGUUGUUCGGAAUUACUGGGCGUAAAGGGCUCGUAGGCGGCCAACUAAGUCAGACGUGAAAUCCCUCGGCUUAACCGGGGAACUGCGUCUGAUACUGGAUGGCUUGAGUUCGGGAGAGGAGCGUGGAAUUCCCAGUGUAGAGGUGAAAUUCGUAGAUAUUGGGAAGAACACCGGUGGCGAAGGCGGCGCUCUGGACCGAGACUGACGCUGAGGCGCGAAAGCGUGGGGAGCAAACAGG
rnacentral:rRNA from 1 species